rnacentral:rRNA from 1 species
AUGAAUGCGGCGCCUCUUCAUGAAGCGACAGUUAGAGAGGUCGCGUGUGAGAGGUUUUCUGGGUGGAACCACAUUGUCACACGACGUGGCGGAGGUCUGGACACCCGCAAAUUUCCUCCAAGUGUGGUGCUAGUUUGCAAAAAUUCGAACACGCGGACGCAUCCGCGGAUAGAAGGCUGGGUUGUACGAGCCCCUUGGGAGCCCUUAUUCCACAUUGAACGUGGAAUUGGUGCUAUAACGCUCAAAUGGAGGCUCAUGAAUCGGUGCUUACUGAUCAACUCGGUUCCAUGCUCCAUUCGCUCCACUGCUAGCUCAGGAAUAGCCGGCCAUCAUAGUUUUCAUUUGAAGAGAUAUCCAUGGAUUCCAAACAUUGUUAACAAAUUUGAAAAAGUUUGUCCGUUGAAACAGUUUAGAUGGAUCUUCGGCGUAGAUUUCUCAGCUCCUUGGGUUGGGAGGAGGUUUGUCUUGCUCUUGGCUUGGGUCAUCUCUCUCCGUCCUUCGCUUGUGCACCUGACUGACCCCUAUGCAUCAUCAGAUGGACGGGACGCGACGCUCAAAUCUUUUCCCCUCGCCGGCUCCUCUUUUUCCUGCCCCCCUUCUGCACCCACCCCCUCCUGUCCUGACACCUCUGCAGCGCUGAUGAGAGUUGCAAUAUUGUUUACACCUCCACUCUGGAUGGUUGGAUGGAUCUCUGGAUCUCUCAUCACCCCCACCCCCACAGAGCCGCAGCCCUUCUAUAAAUCCUGCACCUUCCCUGCCUCCAUCGAUCUCAUCCCUUCUACCUUCUUCCCCUCUCUCCACAAGAGUCUUUCUUGCCACCAGCCAAAUCGCCACAUCGACCAAGGCAACCUCAACCCGAACACACCUUGUAGCGGCCAGAUAGCUUCUUUUCCACAUCGAUCUGUUCUUGGCUUCUUCCUUCUACGCAUCUCUGUCCCUCUCGGCGCAUCGAGUGUUGUUUGCCAUGUGUCUAGGAUUUUCUUCAUCCUUGUCAUGCUGCGGCAGCCUCACUUCUUCCCGCCGUUGGGCACAGCUGCUUCUGAUCUGGUGACCGCUGCUGCAAUCUGCGCUGGGUUUCUUGCAAAGUUGCAUAGGGACAUUAAUUCCCACCUGCUUGUUAGUGUAAUCACCAAUCCUCACCACCUAUUUGCUCAUGGCAUCAGUGUCUGUCUUGGAGAUGAAGAGGCCCUUUCUGCUGCCAUUUGGUCUCCUGUAGUUCCUUUGCACGGUCCCUGUUUAUAUCACAAUAGCACUUGUGCAAAUUUUGUUGUUUGGGCAUUUCGUUUGGACCACUCUGGCGGCGCCCAAACCCUAACCGCCGGGGGCGUGCACUCCCGCCUCCCAUCCCUCCAUCACCGCCGGGUGCCGACGGCGGUGGCGGGGGACUCCCUCUCUCCCGCGUCUCAGGGGUGGUGCGGGGCCCCUACACGUGUGGAGGCGUGUCCGAUCCAGCGGAGCAAUGGCGAUGGUUGCGACGACGACGACGGUGGUUGGCCCUGCCUCAGGCAACGGCGGCUGCAGGCGCGUCGGGCAACCCGGUCACGGCCGGCGGCGUGUAGUGCCUUGACCGGUUCAGGCGGCGGCUGGCCCGGUUCGGGCGACGGCACGAUGCGGUCGGCAGCGGAUAAGCCCCUGCCUAUAUUAACACGAAGGCGCGCCCCCAACAGGGUACGUCGCUUCACGCAUAUCGCACCUGGUAUACACAGCCCAAUCUCUUCCAUCACAUCUAGUUCACUAGGUUUCCUACCACCAAACCUCGCCACCAUGGCCUCCUAUGCCGCCGCCAACUCCAACCUCUCGGGCCAAAUCAGAGGAGCGGGCUUCUUCGGAUACGUGGACGAAACCACACCGGAGCCGGCCAAGCAAGUCGUCACCAAGGACAAGGAUGGGAAAGAAGAGAUGAUUCCCAAUCCUCUCCACUCGGUUUGGAUCCGAGAAGAUCAACAGGUAUUGGGCUAUCUGUUGAACAAUCUGACCAAAAAAGUGCUAGUGCAGGUCACCUCCAUUGAUCAUGCACAUGAGCUCUGGGCGGCACUAGCAGGGAUGUUUUCCUCGCAGUCGCUGACCAGGGUGAACAACAUCUGCAUCGCGCUCUCACAUGCACAGAAGGGAACGCAGUCUGUGGCGACGUACUUCGCAUACAUGCGAUCGCUUGCGGAUGAACUUGCUGUUGCGGGCAAGCCUCUCCAAGACGGCGAGCUGGUCUCCUACAUCCUCACCGGCCUCGACAUGGAGUACCAGCCCCUCGUCUCCGCCCUCGACGCACGCACACAGCCGAUCACCCUCGACGAGCUCUUCUCCCAGAUGAGCAACUUCGAUCAGCGUGUUGCGCUCCUCCAGGGGAACGACGGUUCAAGUCGUCGGCCAACGCCGCUACUCGCGGCCGUGGUGGUGGCGGGGGCGGAUCACGCUACCACGGGCCACCGUAGAAAGGCAAGACGAGCAGCAGCGGCAACGGCAACAACAACGGCAACGGGCGGCCCUCCUACACCAACUCCAAGGGCCGUCGCAACUCCCCCAAGUCACGCCCUGACACCAUCCGGUGCAAGAUCUGCAGAAAACCGGGGCACUCCGCAAAGGAUUGCUGGUACCGCUUCGAAGAGGAUGAAGACUCCUCCCAAGAUAAGAAAGUUGCUGGCGGGGCGGAGGCCUCGUACGGAGUCGACACCAACUGGUAUGUUGACAGUGGUGCUACCAAUCACAUCACCGGCGAGUUAG